AUUGAACGCUGGCGGCAUGCCUUACACAUGCAAGUCGAACGGCAGCGCGGGUGCUUGCACCUGGCGGCGAGUGGCGAACGGGUGAGUAAUACAUCGGAACGUGCCCUAGAGUGGGGGAUAACUAGUCGAAAGAUUAGCUAAUACCGCAUACGAUCUACGGAUGAAAGUGGGGGACCGCAAGGCCUCAUGCUCCUGGAGCGGCCGAUGUCUGAUUAGCUAGUUGGUGGGGUAAUAGCCUACCAAGGCGACGAUCAGUAGCUGGUCUGAGAGGACGACCAGCCACACUGGGACUGAGACACGGCCCAGACUCCUACGGGAGGCAGCAGUGGGGAAUUUUGGACAAUGGGGGAAACCCUGAUCCAGCAAUGCCGCGUGUGUGAAGAAGGCCUUCGGGUUGUAAAGCACUUUUGUCAGGAACGAAACGGUGAGGGUUAAUACCUCUUGCUAAUGACGGUACCUGAAGAAUAAGCACCGGCUAACUACGUGCCAGCAGCCGCGGUAAUACGUAGGGUGCAAGCGUUAAUCGGAAUUACUGGGCGUAAAGCGUGCGCAGGCGGUUGUGCAAGACAGAUGUGAAAUCCCCGGGCUCAACCUGGGAAUGGCAUUUGUGACUGCACGGCUAGAGUGUGUCAGAGGGGGGUAGAAUUCCACGUGUAGCAGUGAAAUGCGUAGAUAUGUGGAGGAAUACCGAUGGCGAAGGCAG
rnacentral:rRNA from 1 species